UACGUAGGGGGCAAGCGUUGUCCGGAUUUAUUGGGCGUAAAGAGCGUGUAGGCGGCCAGGUAGGUCUGCUGUGAAAACUCGAGGCUCAACCUCGAGACGUCGGCGGAAACCAUCUGGCUAGAGUCCGGAAGAGGAGAGUGGAAUUCCUGGUGUAGCGGUGAAAUGCGCAGAUAUCAGGAAGAACACCGGUGGCGAAGGCGGUUCUCUGGGCCUUACCUGACGCUGAGGAGCGAAAGCGUGGGGAGCGAACAGG
rnacentral:rRNA from 1 species